rnacentral:rRNA from 1 species
CUACGGGCUGCUGCAGUGAGGAAUUUUGCGCAAUGGGGGGAACCCUGACGCAGCAACGCCGCGUGAGUGAUGAAGGCUUUCGGGUCGUAAAGCUCUGUCAAGUGGGAAGAACCUAUGCAGUGUUAAUAUCACUGUAUACUGACGGUACCACUGGAGGAAGCACCGGCUAACUCCGUGCCAGCAGCCGCGGUAAUACGGGGGGUGCAAGCGUUAUUCGGAAUCAUUGGGCGUAAAGGGCACGUAGGCGGCUUGGUAAGUCAGAUGUGAAAGCCCGGGGCUUAACCCCGGAAGUGCAUUUGAUACUGUCAGGCUUGAGUAUGGGAGAGGGAAGUGGAAUUCCUGGUGUAGAGGUGAAAUUCGUAGAUAUCAGGAGGAACACCGGUGGCGAAGGCGACUUCCUGGACCAAUACUGACGCUGAGGUGCGAAGGCGUGGGUAGCAAACAGGAUUAGAUACCCCCGUAGUC